AGCCUAUGGUAAGGGCACCUUCUCAAUAAGUCUUUUUAUCUCUCCCAUGCGUCAUAAAGACUUGCUAAAUCCAUCUGCACACAAGAAGAGAUAACAUUCCUCAAUUU
rfam:Gossypium hirsutum cultivar TM-1 chromosome 23, whole genome shotgun sequence